rnacentral:rRNA from 1 species
UACGUAGGGAGCGAGCGUUGUCCGGAAUUACUGGGUGUAAAGGGAGCGUAGGCGGGCGAGAAAGUUGAAUGUUAAGUCUACCGGCUUAACUGGUAGCUGCGUUCAAAACUUCUUGUCUUGAGUGAAGUAGAGGCAGGCGGAAUUCCUAGUGUAGCGGUGAAAUGCGUAGAUAUUAGGAGGAACACCGGUGGCGAAGGCGGCCUGCUGGGCUUUAACUGACGCUGAGGCUCGAAAGCGUGGGGAGCAAACAGG